rnacentral:rRNA from 1 species
ACGAACGCUGGCGGCGUGCUUAACCCCUGCAAGUCGAACGGAAAGGCCCUGCUUUUGUGGGGUGCUCGAGUGGCGAACGGGUGAGUAACACGUGAGUAACCUGCCCUUGACUUUGGGACAACUUCAGGAAACUGGGGCUAAUACCGGAUAGGAGCUCCUGCUGCAUGGUGGGGGUUGGAAAGUUUCGGCGGUUGGGGAUGGACUCGCGGCUUAUCAGCUUGUUGGUGGGGUAGUGGCUUACCAAGGCUUUGACGGGUAGCCGGCCUGAGAGGGUGACCGGCCACAUUGGGACUGAGAUACGGCCCAGACUCCUACGGGAGGCAGCAGUGGGGAAUAUUGCACAAUGGGCGGAAGCCUGAUGCAGCAACGCCGCGUGCGGGAUGACGGCCUUCGGGUUGUAAACCGCUUUCGCCUGUGACGAAGCGUGAGUGACGGUAAUGGGUAAAGAAGCACCGGCUAACUACGUG